GCGAAUCUCAAAAAGCCGUCCCAGUUCGGAUUGCAGGCUGCAACCCGCCUGCAUGAAGUUGGAAUCGCUAGUAAUCGCGGAUCAGCAUGCCGCGGUGAAUACGUUCCCGGGCCUUGUACACACCGCCCGUCACACCAUGAGAGUCGGGAACACCCGAAGUCCGUAGCCUAACCGCAAGGGGGGCGCGGCCGAAGGUGGGUUCGAUAAUUGGGGUGAAGUCGUAACAAGGUACC
rnacentral:rRNA from 1 species